rnacentral:tRNA from 1 species
GACUCUUUGGCGCAGCGGUAGCGCGUCUAGCGGAUACCUAGAAGGUCGCUCGUUCGAAUCGAGCAAGGGUCA